GAUACUAUUAAAUCAUGUAUUUGCUAGUGGACACUCUUCAAAUUUGUAUAUUUGCUACAAAACGUCAUAAUUAUUAAAAUAAUAACCUUUUGGUUUAGAGGAAAGACAAAACAUGUAAAAUGACCAAAUACCCCUACGGGACCACAUUGCCCAGGUAUGCAUCGAUAAAGAAAAGAGACAUUAGUAUCCGUACAUGUUCAAAGCCAUUACAAGGCUCCAUAUACAUACAUAUCGAGGAUAGCCAUGAUAAGGUUCGAAAGCCGUACAUGUCAAGCCAUACAGGUUCAUAAAAGCCAGCAGCAAUUCUUUGGCGAAUCCACGCUGUGCAAACGUUUCACCGGACUGUUCAUGACGACCGUCGCUCAGUUCAUGGCGCAGUGAUGCAGACGGGGGCGAACACCAUAUACGGUUGGACAGCAGAGAGGACGGCACUGGGCAGCUCCUGUAGGGCACGAGGUGGUCGGCGUUGGGCACUUACUGCAAGCGCGGGGCGAGUCGCGGCGGCGCCGGCGUCUGGGAGCUGGGGCGCCGAUUCGAGGGGCCAACGGCGUCCGAUUCCUGAGCUGGGGUGGAGCGCGGCACUGAUUUGUGCGAGGGUUUGGCGGAGCUACACCAGCAGGCUCGAUUUUGGUGGAAUCUGAGGCCGGCGGCACCGUCGCUUGAGCUGCAGGCGGUGGCCUGCGACGCUGCAGCCUGUCGCAGGUGGGGAACGAGGGUGGCUGUCGGUGGGCUGGGAAUGGGUGGAAGGGAAGGGAGGGAUCGCAU
rnacentral:lncRNA from 1 species